AAAUGCAGCAUUAAAACAUUUUUUUAAUAAAAAAAAUAAAAAGAUUUUUUUUUCUCGUAAUGAAAACUUUUAAGAUCUCUUCGCGCCUUUCAGAUGCAAUGCGGUAUGUUAACUGUAGUCCCCACACCGUGCCUUGCAUCCCCAGGACUUAUUUAGUUUACGGCUGGGAGUUUGUAUUUUUAACUCCUCUUCUCCCAUCACCCCUCCUCCCCCUCCCCACCCCCAUAGGGUUGUGUUUUAUAACGUAACGUGAAGGAGAGUAAGAAAGCCAAAGCCAGGGAACCCAGCAUGGGCCCGGCCCGGGCCUGGCUCACCCACCAGAGUCACUGAAGCGGCAAAUGGGGACGCAGACUGCCAGGCUCCCAGCGGCACCGCUGUGACGCCACGGGAAAGAAUUCCAACCAAUAAAUGUGGGAGUGAUGGGCUUGAGGACCACCAUUUGGCAAAUGCCAGGGUAGAAACUGUUUCCGGGCUGAGACUGAUCGAACUUGGCCCUUGAAAGGAGAUCACCUUCCAGAGCUCCCAGCUUGGCGGAGGAGGCAGACCCAACAGCCAGUGAUCCCAGCGCAGCCUCAGCAGGUGAAUCUUAGAGAGGCGCCGAUGAGGAUUCUGGCCCCACUACCUCUCGCGCUCUUGGAACCCAUUCAAGGCCAGCUAUCCCAUCACGUCUUUGAAUGUUCGAAGGCCAGCGUCAGCUGAGCCCAUGUCCCACUUAGGCCAACUCCACACUGCUGCUGCCUGAAUUCGUGAGGGUCCUGCCUGCCCAUCUCCCUGAUGGAUCAGUUCUGCCGGCGCCGGGGACUGUAUGAGCAGAUUCUCCGUGGCUUGGGUUUGCUGCUGUGUCUCCCCUGCGUUGAACCCCAGAAACCACUUCCUUCUGUUAUUGAUGGUCUCCACGAGGCCCAGAGGUGGCUCUGUUAAAAUAUCGUCUCCUCCAGGGACACUCCGGGACCAGAGUGCUUGAGGCACGCGUCAGGUAGGAUGGGGGGAUCAGGACGGUUCUCCGCGCUCGUGUAAGGGAAGGAAGAAAUCAAGGAAGUGAUAGAACAGACAUUGUGGCCUUCCUCUGUGUGGCCCGGUGGGGCCACGUCUGCUGCUGGGAGGGGCCGGCUUGCUUCCCGAGCCCGCUGUUCCCCAGGGGGAGGAAGGUGCCACUCCCCCAGACUCUGAAGGACAAAGAUGGACAGCUGGCUCUAAGGGGCGCCUGGGUGGCUCAGUCGGUUGGGCGUCCGACUUCGGCUCAGGUCACGA